CGGGGGGAGCAAGCGUUGUUCGGAUUUACUGGGCGUAAAGGGCGCGUAGGCGGCCACCGCAAGUCAGUUGUGAAAUCUCUGGGCUUAACCCAGAAAGGUCAACUGAUACUGCGGGGCUAGAGUGCAGAAGGGGCAACUGGAAUUCUCGGUGUAGCGGUGAAAUGCGUAGAUAUCGAGAGGAACACCUGCGGCGAAGGCGGGUUGCUGGGCUGACACUGACGCUGAAGCGCGAAAGCUAGGGGAGCGAACGGGAUUAGAUACCCCGGUAGUCCUAGCCUUAAACGAUGAAUGCUUGGUGUCUGGGGGUUUUAUAGUCCCCGGGUGCCGUCGCUAACGCUUUAAGCAUUCCGCCUGGGGAGUACGGUCGCAAGACUG
rnacentral:rRNA from 1 species